GGGGAUGUAGCUCAGGGGUAGAGCGCUUGCUUAGCAUUAAUAAGCUGCAUGAGGCCCAGCGUUCGAUUCGCUGUUUCUCCA